rnacentral:rRNA from 1 species
AUUGAACGCUGGCGGCAGGCUUAACACAUGCAAGUCGAACGGCAGCACGGGUGCUUGCACCUGGUGGCGAGUGGCGAACGGGUGAGUAAUACAUCGGAACGUACCCUAUCGUGGGGGAUAACGCAGCGAAAGCUGUGCUAAUACCGCAUACGCCCUGAGGGGGAAAGCGGGGGAUCGCAAGACCUCGCGCGAUUAGAGCGGCCGAUGCCUGAUUAGCUUGUUGGUGGGGUAAAAGCCCACCAAGGCGACGAUCAGUAGCUGGUCUGAUAGGAGGAUCAGCAACACUGGAACGUAGACACGGCCCAGACUCCUACGGGAGGAAGCAGUGGGGAAUUAUGGACAAUGGGGGCAACCCUGAUCCAGCAAUGCCGCGUGAGUGAAGAAGGCCUUCGGGUUGUAAAGCUCUUUUGUCAGGGAAGAAACACCGGCUCUAACACAGUCCGGGAAUGACGGUACCUGAAGAAUAAGCACCGGUUAACUACGUGCCAGCCGCCGCAGUAA